rfam:Nematostella vectensis strain CH2 x CH6 NEMVEscaffold_11302_Cont57158, whole genome shotgun sequence.
GAAUCCGUGGCGUAAUGGUAGAGCGUCUGACUCCAGAUUAGAAGGUUGCUUAUUCAAAUCACGUCGGUGUCA